UACGGGGGGAGCAAGCGUUGUUCGGAUUUACUGGGCGUAAAGGGCGCGUAGGCGGCCGGGUUGGUCGUGGGUGAAAUCCCCCAGCUUAACUGGGGAAUUGCCUACGAUACUGCCUGGCUCGAGGGAGGAAGGGGCGGCCGGAACUGUCGGUGGAGCGGUGAAAUGCGUUGAGAUCGACAGGAACGCCGGUGGCGAAAGCGGGCCGCUGGCCCUCUUCUGACGCUGAUGCGCGAAAGCCAGGGGAGCGAACGGG
rnacentral:rRNA from 1 species